CAUGAAUUAGAUGCCAGUUGAUAGUUCUUUCUUCCAAGGAUGAGGCAGAUGGCAGCACUCCUCUAUUAUCUUCUGUCCCAGUGGAGAAGGAAGAGGAAGGAAACCGGAAGCUGUGAGAGCACCGAC
rnacentral:lncRNA from 1 species